AUUGAACGCUGGCGGCAGGCCUAACACAUGCAAGUCGAACGGUAACAGGAAGCAGCUUGCUGCUUCGCUGACGAGUGGCGGACGGGUGAGUAAUGUCUGGGAAGCUGCCUGAUGGAGGGGGAUAACUACUGGAAACGGCAGCUAAUACCGCAUAAUGUCGCAAGACCAAAGAGGGGGACCUUCGGGCCUCUUGCCAUCGGAUGUGCCCAGAUGGGAUUAGCUUGUUGGUGGGGUAACGGCUCACCAAGGCGACGAUCCCUAGCUGGUCUGAGAGGAUGACAAGCCACAGUGGGACUAGGCAACGGUCCAGACUCCUACGGGGGGCAGCAGUGGGGAAUUUUGCAAAAUGGGGGCAAGCCUGAUGCAGCCAUGCCGGGUGUAUGAAGAAGGCCUUGGGGUUGUAAAGUACUUUCAGGGGGGAGGAAGGGAGUAAAGUUAAUACCUCUGCCCAUUGACUUUACCCGCAGAAGAAGCCCCGGCUAACCCCGU
rnacentral:rRNA from 1 species